CGAAAAAAAAACAGGGAAUGUGGAGAUGACGUCACGCUGUGUUGCAUUAUGGGUCCGCCAUAUUUAAAGGAUCGCGCCCAAUGCCGCUGUAUUUAAAUGCAAGUGUUGGAGGCUGUGCUUGGAUUUUCUGUCGAGAUUUUAUUAAAUGUCGAUAUGGUUGUUCAGUUCAACUCCCGUAGCAGGUCACACGAUCGUCCAGGGAGGAAACUGAACAACGGAAUACGUUUUUUCACCUUUAUUUCUUGGAAAAACAACAAGGGAAGCAAGUCGAGGAGCUGACGAGAAGACGCCAGAGAACGGUCGACUCGCCACCAAAUUGAGAUACCGAGGAAUACUGUUCUCUGGGAUUUGUUUUCAUGAUAAUUGAAUGUAAAUAGUUUUAUAGGGUAUGGGCCAUAGUAAAACGAAAUCGCUAGUUAUUACCACUAACAAGGCUCAAAAUAGCCCCAAACACCAUAGCAUAAUAAGGGUCCCUACAUGAAAACUGACGCAUGGAGAACUUUGUAAGUGUACAUACAGUUUAAUAAGAAGAUACUUUAUAAAGACAAUACACUUCGCAUAUCAUGUGUGACUGUUCUGAUGUGUUUGUCUUUUCCUGUCUUUUUUCAGGUCAGCAGAUGCCUCCACCAAGUUUUUUUGUUUUGUUUUUUUGUGCAAGAAACCUACCAUAAAUUAUCUGACCAAUAUUUAUAUCUAGAUCAGUCAACACCACACAACACCAAAACCAGCCAGUCGUCCAGAAUUGGAUGGGUCUAUUGUGACGCAAGCUAAGCCUGAAGAACUCAUCACACAGAGGGAGGUGGCUCAGCCAUGGAGACGGAAAUGAGAGCUGUGAGGACAUCCAUUACCCACAUGGCACAGCAGAUGGACCCAUUUGAGGAGAAGAUGGAUGAACUUAGUAUGACUUAUCAAAAUUUGUUUCUUUCUUUUUAGGCCAGCUGAGAAGGACUGAGCCUUAAACCAUUUUUUUUUAUAUAUAUUUUUGCAAUUUUAUUUGACACUUUGACCAUUCACCUACACAUUAUAUACUUUAUCAUUCCAAUUUGCAUCUUGCACACUACAUUUGCACACUUCAUCCCACUCCAUUAGUACUUGAAGUGAUAUGUCAUAAUUGUAUAGUUGUAUACUAAAACUGAUUAUAAUUCUUGUUGUAUUUAUUUUUUUAUGUAUUUUGUUAAUUUUAUAUUGUAUAUUAAAGUUUUAAGUCCCAUCAAGUUUGCCUAUUCAUUCAUUCCUGCUAAUAUAUAAUAAUUAAUUCCUGCUCAUGCACAGUUUAAAGUGAUAGUAAAAUUGGUAUCAUUGUUAAAGUUUUUUAAAGGACAGGGGAAUGUAAAAAAGAACGUUAGGGGAACGUUC